AGGGAAGGCUGGAGGUACGCCUAACACAUGCAAGUCGAACGGCAGCACAGUAAGAGCUUGCUCUUACGGGUGGCGAGUGGCGGACGGGUGAGGAAUACAGCGGAAUCUACUUUUUCGUGGGGGAUAACGUAGGGAAACUUACGCUAAUACCGCAUACGACCUACGGGUGAAAGCAGGGGAUCUUCGGACCUUGCGCGAUUGAAUGAGCCGAUGUCGGAUUAGCUAGUUGGCGGGGUAAAGGCCCACCAAGGCGACGAUCCGUAGCUGGUCUGAGAGGAUGAUCAGCCACACUGGAACUGAGACACGGUCCAGACUCCUACGGGAGGCAGCAGUGGGGAAUAUUGGACAAUGGGCGCAAGCCUGAUCCAGCCAUACCGCGUGGGUGAAGAAGGCCUUCGGGUUGUAAAGCCCUUUUGUUGGGAAAGAAAAGCAGCAGGUUAAUACCCCGCUGUUCUGACGGUACCCAAAGAAUAAGCACCGGCUAACUUCGUG
rnacentral:rRNA from 1 species